AGCGAACGCUGGCGGCAGGCUUAACACAUGCAAGUCGAACGGAUCCUUCGGGAUUAGUGGCGGACGGGUGAGUAACACGUGGGAACGUGCCUUUAGGUUCGGAACAACACAGGGAAACUUGUGCUAAUACCGGAUGUGCCCGAAAGGGGAAAGAUUUAUCGCCUUUAGAGCGGCCCGCGUCUGAUUAGCUAGUUGGUGGGGUAAAGGCUUACCAAGGCGACGAUCAGUAGCUGGUCUGAGAGGAUGGCCAGCCACAUUGGGACUGAGACACGGCCCA
rnacentral:rRNA from 1 species